GAACCCGUAGCUUAACCUGGUUAGAGCGCUGGUCUUAUACACCAGUGGUUCCCGGUUCAAAUCCGGGCGGGUUCA
rnacentral:tRNA from 1 species